GCAGAAUGGAGAGUGUCGGUUAACUUGCCCCAAAUACAGCAUGGUAUUCUUGAAUCACUACCUCACAAGUAAAAAAAGCGAGGUUAGUUGUGAUUAUGUCACUCGAAAAUAAUUGAUUGGAUUGAAUUUAGAUGACAGAAAAAAUUACUUGAUGUCUCUUAGGGUGAACUCUAGUUUUUUACGCUGGUUUCCACCAGCACAUUGAAUAGUUUCGACAGCAUACCACAAUCCAAAACUUGGCCCAGCACAUCUGUUUAUAAAACAUUGAAAAGUUAUUAAAUGUAGCAAGUACACAAUUUAAUUGCAGAAACUAUCCAUUACGUAUUUACCUAUUAGGUAUUUUUCAUCAAGAGUUCCAGAUAGAACGCUUUGAAAAUCGACCAAAUUAAGAUAUAAGUCAUCAUUCAUGAAAUUGGACCGACUAACGACUGUUGCUUGAUUAAAUGAAAUCUUGCAGAUAUGGUUUGUUGUGCGAUAUGCUCCUCCAGCAGGCCUGACUUGGAAGUUUCUGAUGUUGCGCCAUACUCCAACCAGAAGAAGUCUUCCUUUACUCUCAAAGUAAGUCUUUUUGCAGCUUGCAUGAAUUUUAUGCCCCUUGUACAUGUUACAAUUAAAUAAAUUAGAAAUAUUAACAUCAAUUAAUAUCAAUGCUCAAGUUACACAAUUCUUUUUAAAAAAACACUAUUCUAU
rnacentral:lncRNA from 1 species